rnacentral:tRNA from 1 species
GCCGAAGUGGCGGAAUUGGUAGACGCGCUGGAUUCAAAAUCCAGUGAUGGCAACAUCGUGCGGGUUCGAGCCCCGCCUUCGGUACUA